CCUACGGGUGACAGCAGUGAGGAAUAUUGGUCAAUGGACGAGAGUCUGAACCAGCCAAGUCGCGUGAAGGAUGACUGCCCUAUGGGUUGUAAACUUCUUUUAUAUGGGAAUAAAAUGUUCCCCGUGCGGGAUUUUGUAUGUACCAUAUGAAUAAGGAUCGGGUAACUCCGUGCCAGCAGCCACGGUAAUACGGAGGGUCCGAGCGUUAACCGGAUUUAUUGGGUUUAAAGGGAGCGUAGGUGGAUUGUUAAGUCAGUUGUGAAAGUUUGCGGCUCAACCGUAACAUUGCAGUUGAAACUGGCAGUCUUGAGUACAGUAGAGGUGGGCGGAAUUCGUGGUGUAGCGGUGAAAUGCUUAGAUAUCACGAAGAACUCCGAUUGCGAAGGCAGUUCACUGGACUGCAACUGACACUGAGGCUCGAAAGUGUGGGUAUCAAACAGGAUUAGAUACCCCUGUAGUC
rnacentral:rRNA from 1 species